AGACGGAGGGGGCUAGCGUUGUUCGGAAUUACUGGGCGUAAAGCGCGCGUAGGCGGAUUGAUCAGUCAGAGGUGAAAUCCCAGGGCUCAACCCUGGAACUGCCUUUGAUACUGUCAGUCUUGAGUUCGAGAGAGGUGAGUGGAAUUCCGAGUGUAGAGGUGAAAUUCGUAGAUAUUCGGAGGAACACCAGUGGCGAAGGCGGCUCACUGGCUCGAUACUGACGCUGAGGUGCGAAAGCGUGGGGAGCAAACAGGAUUAGAUACCCCGGUAGUCC
rnacentral:rRNA from 1 species